GACGAACGCUGGCGGCGUGCUUAACACAUGCAAGUCGAACGGAAAGGCCCUGCUUUUGUGGGGUGCUCGAGUGGCGAACGGGUGAGUAACACGUGAGUAACCUGCCCUUGACUUUGGGAUAACUUCAGGAAACUGGGGCUAAUACCGGAUAGGAGCUCCUGCUGCAUGGUGGGGGUUGGAAAGUUUCGGCGGUUGGGGAUGGACUCGCGGCUUAUCAGCUUGUUGGUGGGGUAGUGGCUUACCAAGGCUUUGACGGGUAGCCGGCAUGAGAGGGUGACCGGCCACAUGGGGACUGAGAUACGGACCAGACUCCUACGGGAGGCAGCAGUGGGGAAUAUUGCACAAUGGGCGGAAGCCUGAUGCAGCAACGCCGCGUGCGGGAUGACGGCCUUCGGGUUGUAAACCGCUUUCGCCUGUGACGAAGCGUGAGUGACGGUAAUGGGUAAAGAAGCACCGGCUAACUACGUG
rnacentral:rRNA from 1 species